GAUGAACGCUGGCGGCGUGCUUAACACAUGCAAGUCGAACGGAAAGGCCCUGCUUUUGUGCGGUGCUCGAGUGGCGAACGGGGGAGGAACACGCGAGUAUCCUGCCCUUGUCUUUGGGAUAACAUCAGGAAACUGGGGCUAAUAUCGGAUAGGAUCUCCUGCAGCAUGGGGGGGGUUGGAAAGUUGCGGCUGUUGGGGAUGGACUCGCGGCUUACCAGCUUGUUGGUGGGGUAGUGGCUGACCAAGGGUUUGACGGAUAGGCGGCCUGGGAGGGUGGCCGGCCACCAGAGGCCUACGGUACGGCGCAGUCUCCUACGGGAGGCAGCAGUGGGGAAUAUUACGCAGUGAGCCCGCGCCUGUGACGACAGCCCCGCGUGCGGAAUGACGGCUUUCGGGUUAAGAACAGCUUUCGCCUGAGACGAAGCGGUAGUGACGGUACUGGAUAAAGAAGCACCGGCUAACUACGUG
rnacentral:rRNA from 1 species